UACGAGGGGGGCGAGCGUUGUUCGGAAUUAUUGGGCGUAAAGGGUUCGUAGGCGGUGUGGCAAGUCGGGAGUGAAAUCUCUGGGCUUAACUCAGAGGCUGCUUCCGAAACUGCCGUGCUAGAGUGCGGGAGAGGCGAGUGGAAUUGCAGGUGUAGCGGUGAAAUGCGUAGAUAUCUGCAGGAACACCCGUGGCGAAGGCGGCUCGCUGGACCGCAACUGACGCUGAGGAACGAAAGCUAGGGGAGCAAACAGG
rnacentral:rRNA from 1 species